UACGAAGGGGGCUAGCGUUGCUCGGAAUUACUGGGCGUAAAGGGAGCGUAGGCGGACAUUUAAGUCAGGGGUGAAAUCCCGGGGCUCAACCUCGGAAUUGCCUUUGAUACUGGGUGUCUUGAGUAUGAGAGAGGUGUGUGGAACUCCGAGUGUAGAGGUGAAAUUCGUAGAUAUUCGGAAGAACACCAGUGGCGAAGGCGACACACUGGCUCAUUACUGACGCUGAGGCUCGAAAGCGUGGGGAGCAAACAGGAUUAGAUACCCCCGUAGUCCCU
rnacentral:rRNA from 1 species